rnacentral:tRNA from 1 species
GGAUGUAGCUCACUGGUAGAGCUCAUGCUUAGCGCACAGAAGGUCCUGGGUUCAAUUCCCAGUACAUCCA